rnacentral:rRNA from 1 species
AACCAGUGGCCCAAGCGUUAGUCGGAAUCACUGGACUUAAAGGUUGCGUAGGCGGAUGGGUAAGUGCUUUGUGAAAGCCCCGGGCUCAACCCGGGAACCGCAGGGCAUACUGCUUAUCUUGAGGAAGGUAGAGGCCGGCGGAACGAUAGGUUGAGCGGUGGAAUGCAUAGAGAUCUAUCGGACCGCCAAGGGUGAAGACAGCCGGCUGGGCCUUUCCUGACGAAGUGUCACGAAAGCGUGGGGAGCAAACAGG